CCUACGGGUGGCAGCAGUGAGGAAUAUUGGUCAAUGGCCGGAAGGCUGAACCAGCCAUGCCGCGUGUAGGUCAGUGCCCUAUGGGCGUUAAACUUCUUUUGUGCGGGAGCAAUAAUGUUCACGUGUGGCCAGACGCGAUUACCGUACGCAUAAGCAUCGGCUCACUCCGGGCCAGCAGCCGCGGUAAUACGGGGGAUGCAAGCGUGAUCGGGAUUUAUUGGUUUUAAGGGGUGCGUAGGCUGUGAGGUAAGUCAGCGGUGAAAUGCCCCCGCUCAACGGGGUGAAGUGCCAGUGAUACUGGCUAGCUGGAAUGCGGAUGACGUGGGAGGAAUGUGUGGUGUAGCGGUGAAAUGCAUAGAGAUGA
rnacentral:rRNA from 1 species